AUGGACGCCGACGCCGACACGGUGGUGUUCGAGGCACCGGCGCACUUCCGCUUCUACAAGAGCGGCAGGAUAGAGCGCCUUAACCGGCCUCCCAUCCUCCCCGCCGGAGUCGACGAGGCCACCGGCGUCACCUCCAAGGACGUCGUCCUCGACGCGGACUCCGGCCUCUCCGUGCGCCUCUACCUUCCCAAGCUCCAGGAACCCUCCACGAAGCUCCCGGUCCUCGUCUACUUCCACGGCGGCUCCUUCCUCAUCGAGUCGGCCGACUCCUCCACGUACCACAACUACGUCAACGCCCUCGCCGCGGCGGCCGGCGUCCUCGCGGUGUCCGUCGACUACCGCCUGGCCCCGGAGCACCCGCUCCCCGCGGCCUACGACGACUCCUGGGCCGCGCUCCAGUGGGCGGCGUCGGCGCAGGACGAGUGGAUCCGCGAGCACGGCGACACGGCCCGCCUGUUCCUCGCCGGCGACAGCGCGGGGGCCAACAUCGUGCACGACAUGCUCAUGAGGGCGACCUCCAACGACGGCAGCCCGAGGGUCGAGGGCGCGGGCCACGUGUUCUUCCUCGAGAAGCCCGGGUGCGACAACGCCAAGCAGCUCAUGGACCGCGUCGUCGCGUUCAUAGCCGGCGCCUGA
rnacentral:rRNA from 1 species